rnacentral:rRNA from 1 species
UACGGAGGGUGCAAGCGUUAUCCGGAUUCACUGGGUUUAAAGGGUGCGUAGGUGGUCCGAUAAGUCAGUGGUGAAAGCUCGCAGCUUAACUGUAAAACUGCCAUUGAAACUGCCGGACUGAGUACGAUUGAUGUGGGCGGAAUACAUCAUGUAGCGGUGAAAUGCUUAGAUAUGAUGUAGAACACCGAUUGCGAAGGCAGCUCACAAAAUCGCAACUGACACUGAGGCACGAAAGCGUGGGGAGCAAACAGG